UUUCCGUAGGUGAACCUGCGGAAGGAUCAUUAAUGAGUACUAAGGGUAGUAGUCUCGGCUAUUACUCUGAACACUCCACCCUUUGUUUAUAUUACCUUUGUCGCUUUAGCAGGCCCGCUCUCGAGCCGCCGGCACCUGCUGGCUAGUGCCUGCUAAAGAACCUAAAACUCUUGUUAAUAAUAUUGUCUGAGUACUAUAUAAUAGUUAAAACUUUCAACAACGGAUCUCUUGGUUCUG
rnacentral:misc_RNA from 1 species